rnacentral:lncRNA from 1 species
AGAUUUUUGUGUCUCAGCCCAUAGACUUCCUUGCAUGGCUCUAGUUAAUUUUAACCAAUGAUAUGGUUUCAGAUUGGCCCUUCUAGGUUGACCCUGAAUUCUUUGACUUGAACGUAAUAGGCCUCGCCCCUUUGCGCCAGGUGGUCCAGGAACUGGAGGUGCAGCAGGUCCAGGAACUGGAGGCGCAGCAGGUCCAGGAACUGGAGGCGCAGCAGGAGAUCCAAAUCGAGCACCAGAAGGUGGUCCAGGAACUGGAGGCGCAGCAGGAGAUGGUGAUGAAGUGGCGGGGGAGCUUGACAAUCCUUUGGCACAAGGAGCAGGAGGUGGUGGCACAGGAGGAGCACAUGCAGAACUGUUAGAUGAGUUUUGAGCAGAACUUGGAGGAGGAGGAGGUGGUGGUACUUUAUCAACACUAGAAGGGCCCAAAUUGUUAGAUGAGUUUUGAGCAGAACUUGGAGGAGGAGGUGGUGGUGGCACUUUAGCAACGCCGGAAUGGCCUGUUACAGACCCAGGAGAUGGGGCAGGAGGAGGUGGAGGAAGUCCUGAGCUAGCAACUAGUGAAUGUGGAGGAGAAGGGAGAGCUGAAUGUGAAUUCUUAAUUGUGGAGGAUGAUGUUCCUGAAGAAAAAAGGGGUGGAGGGGGAGGGGGAGAGGGAGAGGGAGCUGAAGCUG